rnacentral:rRNA from 1 species
AGUGAACGCUGGCGGUAGGCCUAACACAUGCAAGUCGAACGGCAGCACAGGAGAGCUUGCUCUCUGGGUGGCGAGUGGCGGACGGGUGAGGAAUACAUCGGAAUCUACUCUGUCGUGGGGGAUAACGUAGGGAAACUUACGCUAAUACCGCAUACGAACUACGGGUGAAAGCAGGGGAUCUUCGGACCUUGCGCGAUUGAAUGAGCCGGUGUCGGAUUAGCUAGUUGGUGGGGUAAAGGCCCACCAAGGGGACGAGCCGGAGCUGGUCUGAGAGGAUGAUCAGCCAAACUGGAACUGAGACACGGUCCAGACUCGUACGGGAGGCAGCAGUGGGGAAUAUUGGACAAUGGGCGCAAGCCUGAUCCAGCCAUACCGCGUGGGUGAAGAAGGCCUUCGGGUUGUAAAGCCCUUUUGUUGGGAAAGAAAUCCAUCUGGUUAAUACCCGGGUGGGAUGACGGUACCCAAAGAAUAAGCACCGGCUAACUUCGUGCCAGCCGCCGCCGUAA